rnacentral:lncRNA from 1 species
GAAAAAUAUAAUAAAAGAAGGAAAAAAUUAGAUAUAUUUAUUUAUUGAUUGCACAUUGAAAGGAACCAAACUUAAAAUACUGAUCUAAAAAAUAUAUCUCGAUACUUAAAAAAAAAAACACAGAGAUUCUAAAGAGGCAAUGAUAAGAGGACCCACAGCUCUUCUUUCUUGAAUAUACUUCACAAGUAAGUGCCCUUAUGGGAGAAACUACUGUGUGAGUGAGAUACAUCAAAAUAAGAUAAAAACUUUUUUUUUUUUUUUUUUUCGCAGAAAUAGUCUCAGAGGUAAAACAGCUGAGGUAUGUCACCAGCUAAGAGAAGAAAAAUCAUGCCUGGUAAAGCAGAGUACUUUAUAAGAUGACUGAUAAAACCCCAUUUAGUAAAUGUUGGCUCAGAAGAUAAUGAGAAUUAGAGGA